rnacentral:rRNA from 1 species
UGCCAGCAGCCGCGGUAAUGCGGAGGGUGCAAGCGUUAUCCGGAUUUAUUAGGUUUAAAGGGUGCGUAGGCGGUCUUUCAAGUCAGGAGUUAAAGGCUACGGCUCAACCGUAGUAAGCUCCUGAUACUGUCUGACUUGAGUGCAGGAGAGGAAAGCGGAAUUCCCAGUGUAGCGGUGAAAUGCGUAGAUAUUGGGAGGAACACCAGUAGCGAAGGCGGCUUUCUGGACUGUAACUGACGCUGAGGCACGAAAGCGUGGGGAGCAAACAGGAUUAGAUA